UACAGAGGGUGCGAGCGUUAAUCGGAAUGACUGGGCGUAAAGGGCGCGUAGGUGGUUUGUUAAGAUCGAUGUGAAAUCCCUGGGCUUAACCUAGGAAGGCCAUUGAAGACUGACAAGCUGGAGUACUGUAGAGGGUAGUGGAAUUUCCGGUGUAGCGGUGAAAUGCGUAGAGAUCGGAAGGAACAUCAGUGGCGAAGGCGGCUACCUGGACAGAUACUGACACUGAGGCGCGAGAGCGUGGGGAGCAAACAGG
rnacentral:rRNA from 1 species